rnacentral:rRNA from 1 species
GUCCACGCUGUAAACUAUGGGUACUAGGUGUUCGGGGUGUUGACCCCCUGAGUGCCGACGCUAACGCAUUAAGUACCCCGCCUGGGGACUACGGCCGCAAGGCUAAAACUCAAAGGAAUUGACGGGGGCCCGCACAAGCGGUGGAGCAUGCUGUUCAAUUCGACGCAACGCGAAGAACCUUACCUGGGCUAGACAACGGGGGCCAGUCCGAGAGAUCGGAUCUUUCCUUCGGGAACCCCCGGUUCAGGUGCUGCAUGGCUGUCGU